GAAGCUGACCAGACAGUCGCCGCUUCGUCGUCGUCCUUUCGGGGAGACGGGCGGAGGGGAGGAAAGUCCGGGCUCCAUAGGGCAGGGUGCCAGGUAACGCCUGGGGGGGAAACCCACGACCAGUGCAACAGAGAGCAAACCGCCGAUGGCCCACGUAAGUGGGAUCAGGUAAGGGUGAAAGGGUGCGGUAAGAGCGCACCGCGCGGCUGGUAACAGUCCGUGGCACGGUAAACUCCACCCGGAGCAAGGCCAAAUAGGGGUUCAUAAGGUACGGCCCGUACUGAACCCGGGUAGGCUGCUUGAGCCAGU
rnacentral:RNase_P_RNA from 2 species